rnacentral:tRNA from 1 species
UGGUGUAAUGGUUAGCACACUUAUCGUGAAUAUAAGAGGUGUAGGUUCGAAUCCCAU